UACGGAAGGCAGCAGUGGGGAAUAUUGGACAAUGGGCGCAAGCCUGAUCCAGCCAUGCCGCGUGUGUGAAGAAGGCCUUCGGGUUGUAAAGCACUUUUGUCCGGAAAGAAAAGCUUAGGGUUAAUAACCUUGAGUCAUGACGGUACCGGAAGAAUAAGCACCGGCUAACUUCGUGCCAGCAGCCGCGGUAAUACGAAGGGUGCAAGCGUUACUCGGAAUUACUGGGCGUAAAGCGUGCGUAGGUGGUUUUGUUAAGUCUGAUGUGAAAGCCCUGGGCUCAACCUGGGAAUGGCAUUGGAAACUGGCUUACUAGAGUGCGGUAGAGGGGUGUGGAAUUCCCGGUGUAGCAGUGAAAUGCGUAGAUAUCGGGAGGACAUCUGUGGCGAAGGCGACACCCUGGGACCAGCACUGACACUGAGGCACGAAAGCGUGGGGAGCAAACAGGGAUUAGAUACC
rnacentral:rRNA from 1 species